CAGCCGUCGCUCUUGCACGCAACUUGGGGCCACCUGGCCUAGUGACUGCUGCUACGCGUCCUGGCCGAGGGGUAGCGGGACCGCAGGCGGCUGGAGUGGGGAAGGGUGACCGCCGCCGUCGUUUCUUCUCCGUGGGUGGCUACAGAGUGCCCUCAAGUAACCCGGAGGUUGAGGGCCCCCCAGUGCGCGGCUGCCGGGGGUCAGGACGCGGGACUCCCCUCUACCGCCAUGGUCUGGCAGUGUGGGGGAGCGCUCAGGGACAGAGAUGCGGCUGCAGAUGUGUGCUUUCUCCUUGCUCCCGACUGCUGACUUCAUUAUUCAAAUACGCAGCCGAAACCAUGGAUCUUGCAGGUGCAGCUUUUCUCUGUCUCUCUUAUGUGGAAAGCAGCACAGCGUGGACUCCAGCCAAACUCCCCGAGUUGGAUUGCAGCUCUCUGGCUCUCUAUCCCUGUGAACUGGGGCAGUUUACUGCUUCUAUGUCUCAGUUUCCUCAGCUGUGCAAAGGGGUUACUGAUCCUACUUAACGGGGUGGGUUGUUGUGAAGAGGAAAUGAGUUAACAUAAGUAGAGAAAGACACUGGUGCCUGGCAAGCACUGUGUGAGUGUUUUGGUGUUAUUAUUGCUGUUUUUAUUAGAGCUACAUGUAACGGAACGUUUAAUGAGCCUUUUCCUGUUACCCUGGAAUUAGUGAGUCAGGGCACAAAGGUGAGUACCCAGAGGCAUUCAGUAUCCCACACUGUAAAGGCAGCACAACAUAGCAGCACCCAGAACUUAUCGUUAGAGGGCUGAAGAGCCAGCCCUGUCAUUCUGAACUGCCACCACCCUACCCUCAGGCUUAACUGGGCAACAGGAGAGGGAUGGGGUGGGAGGAAGGGUAGGAGUUUCCCUAAGCAGCCUCCUGGGUGCAGAAAUAGGGAGGGUGCUGUGCUAUUACUAAAGCCAAUAAGGUGUAGCUCCAAGAGAGUUACCAUAAUGACUUCAGAUGCCUAAAAAGAGAGGCUGGCAUCUUCCCUGAUUGGAUGUCUGCUUGGACAGUGUGAGCUUGCUAGACUGCCCUUAUACUUGCCUUUGAAGAAAUCGAGAAAACUAAAAGAGAGACCUCUGGGCAGGGGUCUUCAGGGGCUUGCCUGUCAUUGCUUGUGCUGUCCAAUGCCAGACCCCAUCCACUAGGCCAGAGGCUGUGAAGCAAGCAGCAAUAGGGAGUAACACUGAUGGCAAAACUAGUUGGAGUUGGGAGUGAAGGAGGUUGAGCUAGAGCCCGUUUCCCAUAUCAGAACACUGUACACUGAGGAUACCCUGCAGAGCCUUUGGAAAAACUUACAUCAACUCCCCAUGAAAGAAAGUCAGUGGGGCUGGGUGCGGUGGCUCAUGCCUGUAAUCCCAACACUUUGGGAGGCUGAGGUGGGUGGAUCACGAGGUCAGGAGUUCGAGACCAGCCUGACCAACGUGGUAAAACCCCGUCUCUACUAAAAAUACAAAAAUUAGCCAGGCGUGGUGGCACUUGCCUGUAAUCCCAGCUACUCAGGAGGCUGAGGCAGGAGAAUCGUUUGAACCCGGGAGGAAGAGGUUGCAGUGAGCCGAGAUCAUGCCAUUGCACUCCAGCCUGGGUGACAGAGCGAGACUCCAUCUCAAAACAAGAAAGAAAGAAGAAAGUCACUGUACAGACUGGCCUCACAGAGAUCAAAAACAGCUAGUUGGAGAACUUAAGCUACUUGAGUUUAAGACUUUAGGGAGGAAUUAGAUCAUGAGGACUCCAACUUCAUGAAUAGAUUAGUACCCCUAUAAAAGGGCCCAAAGAAACCAGCUAGCCCUUUUAUGCCUUUCCAUCUCUUUCACCGUGAGUACACAGUGUUCAUAUCCUCGAGGGGACACAACAAGGCACCAUCUUGGAAGCAGAGAGUGGGCCCUCACUGGACACCAAACCUGCAGGUGCCUUGAUCUUGGACUUCCCAGCCUCUAUGACUCAAAUAUGCACUGGAAUUAGGAGUCUCACCCUUUGCUGGCCUCUGCAGCUACAGAGAUGAUUGGUCACAUUCUCAUGGGUGAAGGUAAGGGCAGAGGAGCGAGGGGCCGUGAACCCCCCACUGGAGCUGACUACCCACCUAGAUCCUGAUUCUGCCACUCUCAAGUCCUGCGAUGUGUCUCCAUGCCUUCCUUUCCACAGGGUCCAUGGAUGGCUGGGGCUGAGGGGUAGCAUUGUGUGUGUGCAUCCCUCGGAGCCGUGCCUGGCACUCAGGUACCAGGUGAUGGUACUGGUUGCUACCAUCAUUGUGACUUCACUGGCUGGGAACUAACACCAACAAAGACAGGGGUUCUUUUUAAAGAGCACAGUGUUCAUCUUGUGGACUGGGACCUGGUAUGGCCUCCUCGGUGGGGUCAAAUCUGGUGUUGCCUGUGGGGUUCCCUGGGCCUCCUAGAGCUGAUUUCAGGAGGCCUGCAGAGCCAGAGGCAAGAUGGGCCCAGGUGGGGCGUGUCACAUCAUUACAUUUUCUGCCUGUUACAGCAAGGGACAAGCCACCACCCUCCUGUGUCUGAAGCUUGCCCAGCCAGCAGGUCCAGCUCCAGUGCUGCGUCAUCUGAAAGCCUUCCCCACUAUCAUGGCCUGCCCCGGAUUCUCAUGGAGUUGUGAGAAAACCAGUCAGCCACUCAGCACAUCAGAGUAGUGUCACCUCUGGCUGGGGCUGUCCAGAACGCUGGAGUCCCACAGCCUCGCUUCCCACUAACAGCUGCCUCCCUCCUCAUCCCUGCCCACAUGGAUUCCAGGCACUGUGGAGUGGAGGAGCCCGUCCCAUGCUAGUGCAGGAUGUCUUGAGAGGGAGAAACGUCUCCACCGUGGGAAGGACAAUGAGUCUCUGGCACUGGGGCUUUGGCCUGAAUGGUCUGGAUCACCUUCACCCAGAAAACAGCCCUCCAGAGCCCAGGGAUCGGGGAAGCCACAUUCCCCCACAGCUCAGAGGGCACAGCUGUCACAUGCCCAUACCUCCCUCAGAAUCGGCCAUCCCCACUUGCAUGUUCCAGACCUCUGAAACAGUUGGCAGAAAUGGACAAGCUGAUUCUAAAAUUCAUUUGGAACUGCAAGGGACCAGAAGAACCAAAGCAAUCUUCAACAAGAACAAUGUUAGAAGAUUCACUUCUCCAUUUCAAAACUUACUACAAAACUAUAGUAAUCGGCGGGGUGCAGUGGCUCAUGCCUG